rnacentral:rRNA from 1 species
GAUGAACGCUAGCUACAGGCUUAACACAUGCAAGUCGAGGGGCAGCAUUUCAGUUUGCUUGCAAACUGGAGAUGGCGACCGGCGCACGGGUGAGUAACACGUAUCCAACCUGCCGAUAACUCGGGGAUAGCCUUUCGAAAGAAAGAUUAAUACCCGAUGGUAUAAUCAGACCGCAUGGUCUUGUUAUUAAAGAAUUUCGGUUAUCGAUGGGGAUGCGUUCCAUUAGGCAGUUGGUGAGGUAACGGCUCACCAAACCUUCGAUGGAUAGGGGUUCUGAGAGGAAGGUCCCCCACAUUGGAACUGAGACACGGUCCAAACUCCUACGGGAGGCAGCAGUGAGGAAUAUUGGUCAAUGGGCGCAGGCCUGAACCAGCCAAGUAGCGUGAAGGAUGACUGCCCUAUGGGUUGUAAACUUCUUUUAUAUGGGAAUAAAGUUUUCCACGUGUGGAAUUUUGUAUGUACCAUAUGAAUAAGGAUCGGCUAACUCCGUGCCAGCAGCCGCGGUAAUACGGAGGAUCCGAGCGUUAUCCGGAUUUAUUGGGUUUAAAGGGAGCGUAGGUGGACAGUUAAGUCAGUUGUGAAAGUUUGCGGCUCAACCGUAAAAUUGCAGUUGAUACUGGCUGUCUUGAGUACAGUAGAGGUGGGCGGAAUUCGUGGUGUAGCGGUGAAAUGCUUAGAUAUCACGAAGAACUCCGAUUGCGAAGGCAGCUCACUGGACUGCAACUGACACUGAUGCUCGAAAGUGUGGGUAUCAAACAGGAUUAGAUACCCUGGUAGUCCACACAGUAAACGAUGAAUACUCGCUGUUUGCGAUAUACAGUAAGCGGCCAAGCGAAAGCAUUAAGUAUUCCACCUGGGGAGUACGCCGGCAACGGUGAAACUCAAAGGAAUUGACGGGGGCCCGCACAAGCGGAGGAACAUGUGGUUUAAUUCGAUGAUACGCGAGGAACCUUACCCGGGCUUAAAUUGCAUUUGAAUAUAUUGGAAACAGUAUAGCCGUAAGGCAAAUGUGAAGGUGCUGCAUGGUUGUCGUCAGCUCGUGCCGUGAGGUGUCGGCUUAAGUGCCAUAACGAGCACAACCCUUAUCUUUAGUUACUAACAGGUCAUGCUGAGGACUCUAGAGAGACUGCCGUCGUAAGAUGUGAGGAAGGUGGGGAUGACGUCAAAUCAGCACGGCCCUUACGUCCGGGGCUACACACGUGUUACAAUGGGGGGUACAGAAGGCAGCUACCUGGUGACAGGAUGCUAAUCCCAAAAGCCUCUCUCAGUUCGGAUCGAAGUCUGCAACCCGACUUCGUGAAGCUGGAUUCGCUAGUAAUCGCGCAUCAGCCAUGGCGCGGUGAAUACGUUCCCGGGCCU